UCCCAAAUAGUAUAGUGGCUAGAAUCUCUCCCUGUCACGGAGAAGGCCUGGGUUCGAUUCCCAGUUUGGGAG